rnacentral:misc_RNA from 1 species
CAAGUCUCACACGUAGUAUUUUACGGACUCUUGGUCUUCGUUCUCCAGAUGAACUUAUUGGGUGGACAUAUGCAGAUCCAUCUUGGGCUCGUAUUGCAGCUCUCGUUCCAGUCAUUGUAUCUUGUGCGGAGGAAGGUGAUGAAGUAGCAGAUAAAAUCUUGCAAGAUUCAGUUGAAGAGUUGGCUUUAAGUGUGAAAGCCGUUGUCCAAAAACUUGGCUUGUGUGGCGAAGAUGGAAAUGCUUCUUUUCCCCUUGUUAUGGUUGGUGGUGUUCUUGAAGCAAAUAAGAGGUGGGAUAUAGGAAAACAGGUGGUAAGCUGCAUUUCUAGAGACUACCCCGGGGCUCUUCCAAUUCGGCCAAAGGUGGAGCCUGCAGUAGGGGCAGCGUUGUUAGGCGGGAAUUUCUUCAUGAAAGAGACUUACAAGGAAGCUUACAA